UACGGGGGGAGCAAGCGUUGUUCGGAUUUACUGGGCGUAAAGGGCGCGUAGGCGCCUCUGCAAGUCGACUGUGAAAUCUCCGGGCUUAACCCGGAAAGGUCAGCCGAUACUGCAGGGCUAGAGUGCAGAAGGGGCAACUGGAAUUCUCGGUGUAGCGGUGAAAUGCGUAGAGAUCGGGAGGAAGGCCGGUGGCGAAGGCGGCGCUCUGGAACAUUUCUGACGCUGAGACACGAAAGCCAGGGGAGCGAACGGG
rnacentral:rRNA from 1 species